UCUCUAUUUAUUACCUCUCCUCACUUUCCCUCUCCCCAAAUCCGACUCACUCCUCUCACUUAAUCUCUCUUCCCUCUCUUCUCUAUCUCCCACUCUCAUUCACUCUCCCAUCUCUCUCUCAUUGUCUCCUCUAACUCUCUCACACUCACUCCUCUCUCAUUCUCACUCACUCUCAAUCUUACCAAAAGGUAAUUUCUCCCCAAAUUUGAAUUUUUUGUUUCAUUAAUAUGUGUUUUUGGAGUUAAUUAAUUGGGUUUGGUGUGGGGUGGAGUUUGGGGUAUGCCAAUUUUAGGGGAGAUUAUGCCGAUUUUUUGGUAUUAUGUUAUGUUAUUUUUUUGUCUAUUUGACCAUGUUUGUUUUGUUUGUAGAGGAUCGUCCAUACAUUGACAGGGAAAUUGGGGAUUAUGACACUAUCGGACAAUAACCCCCGCCACUACCACCACAUUACACUUGUAUUAGGAUUUUAUUAUUGUACUUUGUUAAUUUAUGUGUACGUUUUUAAUAUAAUAUAUAUUAUGGAUAAUUUGAUCACUAUUUUUCAUAUGUAAUUUUAUGUUGAAUAUGUCAAUUUAAAUUAAAGUAAUUAAAAAAAUAAAGAUACAAUUAAAAUGAAUUAAGAAAGUAAAAAUUUGAAAAAUUUUGCCCUACCAAAUAUUUCAUCACGCAAACAAUUACUAUAAUUAAACUAAAAUAAGAGAAAUAAUAAAACAAAAUAAAAUACCUUGUGCAACAAAAUAUUUCGUCUCGCAAACAAUUAAUUUCGUCAAGAAAUAUAUUAAAUUAGUUUAAUUAAAUAAAAAAAUAAAAAACUAGCGCGACAAAAUCUUUCGUUGUGCAAAGGCACACUACGCGACAAAUAUUUAUUUUCGUUGCGCAAACCCUAUUGUAAUGAGCUUUGUGAGACCAAUCAUGCGUGACAAAAAUUUCGUCUCAUAAUGUUUUGAGCGACGAAAUCAUAUUUUGUGCAACAAAUCUUAUUUUGUCGCACAAAAUGUUUUUUCUAGAAGUGUAAGUUUAUAAUUAAAUCAUUGUUCAUUAUAUUUGUCACAGCCCGUCCCGGGAUUUCUAUAUAUCAGGGACGUGAAAUGACAGAAUUACCCUUGACGGGUAUUAAGGUAUGUGUGUGUGUGACAUAUUAUUGGACUAAAUUCAUUCAUUCCUAAGCUUUUGGAAAAUAAAUUAAGUUAGAUUAAAAUGUUGGGUUGUAAUUUGUGUGGUUAGGGAAUGAUGUUGUGAUUUGUUUUUGGGUGGCCCACACAACACUCACGCACGGGACAUCUUUCCCUUUCCCAUCCCCGUGCUCUCUCUCUCUCUCUUCUCCGUCUCAGUCACCCUCUCCCUCUCGAAAUUGUACGGACAAGACCAAAUACCCUCGAACUUUCACGGAUCGAUGCCAAAAAGGUAUGGUUCGUCAUCCUUUCAACCUCCUGAGUCGUUUGGUACUAGUUUUAGAACGUGAAACCUUCGAAACCACGUGAAACCCGAACCCCUGUUUUAUGUCACUGUUCAUGCAAUCGUGAUAUGUUGAUUUUCAGGGAAUUCUAAGCUUAUAGUGAGCUUAGUGAGGUCCUAAGGAAGCUCGGAGUGCUUCGUUUGAAGGUUUUGGACGUCGGGAUCAUUAGGUUCAAAAUUGGCUGGUUUUCUUGGAAUUUUCCAGUGAGAUUUUGUAGUUUUUAGAGCCUUAAAGUAGUGUAACGUAAAUCUACAUGCUU
rnacentral:lncRNA from 1 species